UUUAUUCUGUCGAAAACGGGAUUUUGCUCGUUUUACUUGAACGCUCUGUUUCAACGCUCGAUUGCUUACUUUAUAGGCGAGGAUCUUGCAAGAGACUGUAACACCCCUAACCCGUAUUCGAUGUCGAAACAAGGUUACGAAGCAUUACCGGUGUACAAGCCCAAAUUUACCCGAGGCCCAAUAUGGUCCAAAUAAAACCAACCCAAUACCCACCUAGACCUAACCCAAAAUCAGCCCAACAGUACAAACCCUAGCCCAAACCAUAAUAAAAUAAAAAUAAAAAACCUAGCCUCCAUAACCCUAGCCGACGCUCUAGCCUCUGCCAUGCCUGCCACCGUCCCCUGCCACCCUCCCCUACAGCACAUCAACUCCACCUGCUCCACCACCCACUUGCACCUGCAAAAGAAGAAAAGACAG
rnacentral:lncRNA from 1 species